AGGCCAAUUAUAUUUCAUUCCUUGGAUUGUUGAUCGACAUUGGAUGUUGGUGCUCGUGAUGAUGCGGGGGAUGACCAUAAUUUUGGACCCUUUAAAAAAUCAUAAAUCUCCACCAAUAAUUACGGAGGUUAUGGAAAAAGCAUACGCACAAUGUUUGGAAAAUGAAUACAUCGGCACAUUUACAAAAUUGGUGAGAGGUUCUUGUCCAAAACAACCUGAAAGUCAUGAAUGUGGUUAUUAUGUACUAAGAUACAUUUAUGAUCUUGUAAAUGCAC